UUUGGACCCGUCUUGGGGGCCUUGCACACUCGGUUGCGGCUGAAAAUUUGGCAAAGCAAUAGCUGCAGGUGGCCAUGGUGGAGGAAACAAGGAGGACAAUCCAUUCCUGCUACUAGGUCUAGCCGAAUAUCCACCAUAAUCCAGCCCAGUUCUCAGAUGUGAAAUAUGAUUCUGUGUCCAUUUAGUUGAUCCUGUAAUUGGUGGCUUGGUGAGAUGCAUGAGAUAUGAAGCAAGGAAUCCUGUACCUUCACGCAGCUUGAUUACUUUUUCUUCCCUUGUUUUCUUGUCUGAA